rnacentral:rRNA from 1 species
ACAGAGGGUGCAAGCGUUAUUCGGAAUUACUGGGCGUAAAGCGCAUGUAGGCGGUUCGGUAAGUCUGGUGUGAAAGCCCUCGACUCAAUCGGGGAAGUGCAUCGGAUACUGCCGGACUGGAGUACAGGAGAGGAGAACGGAAUUCCUGGUGUAGAGGUGGAAUUCGUAGAUAUCAGGAGGGACUGCGGCGGCUGAGGCGGUUCUCUGGUCUGUUACUCACUCUCCUCUUCUUUCUCUUCUUCCUCCCCCUG